UAAGAAAAAAAGAUAUCAGGAAACACGUAUCAUACACUGUAAACUGAAUGCCAGCUGUGUAACAGAAUCAUCAAAACUAUAUAUACAGAAAGCGUAGUUUAAGAAAUCCCUUGUAAAAAAGAAAAUCAUUGGAAGUCAAAAACCCAUAUGAAAUGUGAUUCCCCAUAUUAGAGAUUUAGGGGGGUUAUGAUGAAGAAACACCGCUGUAGCAAAAGGACCACAUCCAAACCGGCUCCCUGAACAAAUUCCCAUUUAAGUUCUCGUUUAAGAAAGGCAAGGAGUAAGCAAGCAGCUUCCGUUGCUGCCCCACUGAAACAUGCAUUUCCCAGAUUCCUUCAUCCUGUGGCUGAGCAGGUGGUGUCCCUGGCACACAGCUGCCUUCACGAGAGGAAAGAUGUUGCCCAUUUUUAAUACAUUACUGCUGCGAGCAAGUUUAGAGGAGCAACUGACUGUGUCAGAAGGCUGAAAUGGGACCAAUCACAUCUUCUGAGCUGCUGAAUGACACCAUGAGUCCUGCCUCUGAAACUUUUUGUUAUUUUCUCCCCUCAACCUACUUCAAUUGUUCCCACAACUUGGUCACAGACUCGGAUAAGUUGCCAGAGAUCUACAGACACUUCCCACAGCCUGGAGCAGGUUCCUCUGUGCUUCACUAACAGUCACACCAUAGGUGGGUGACAGCACCAUGGAGGAUUAAACAAGCAAGCAGCAGAAACUAAAAACAGGUGAACAGCUGAGGACACAAGGAAGUUCAUGUGAAUCUACACUGCUUGCUACUGAAGGAGCACCCCAGAGCUACAAUAAACAGUGUGCUGUGAGCACAAGAGGGCAGACUCAUGCACGCUAUGGAUCUUGCUAACAACAGAGGUCUCAACCUGCUACUCAAUUUUCUGCUUAUUGUCUUGGUUCUGGUGCUUGCAUUUAUCCUUGUGAAGCUGAUGUGAACCUCUGUGAGGCUCUGCUUCCUUCUCAAAUCUUGUUUUGAGGGUUUUGUAAUUAUCAUGUAGACACUUCAAACAAUAUGAAUACACAAAGGCUGCAGAGACUAAAAUAUCUGCAAAGUGUUCAUAUACCUUUAUUAUCAGAAAGCAAUACUUAAAAGCUGUGCACAAUUAUCAAUUUGCCACUGAGUAAAGAAAGUAUUUAGAGCCUUGCUGAGUACCUGAAGAAAUCCAGGUAUGCGUCAGAAGUUACUGUAGUUUUCUCACUGUUACAGCUGACUUGUGUUUAAAAAUCUACAAAAGAUUUGCAACAUUCACGGAACGUAAUUUCUACAAAAGGGAACAGCAGAAAUCAAAAUUUUAAAAUGGGAUUUCUCUAGAACAUGUACUUCAUGGGAAAUGACAUGGACACAGCAAGAAAGCAGAACAAAACUCGGUUGACAGCACGCAUCAAAUUACCUGUGGAGAGCAAAAGCACAGAUGCUGUAGAGAUGGAAACAAGGAUAGCCAUGAAAAGCAGCCUGCAGCAGCUGAAAUGGGGAUAGGUUGAUAUAUGAAAACAUAACCAUUAGUUAUACCUUUUUUGACCAUCUACAGUUUACAGCAACAUCUUAAAAGCCAGAAGCCAUUAGUGUUAUCCAGCAGUAUCAAAAGAAGCAGCUGUCAAAACUGAAAACCCAACCACCAUUAGCCAGGGUUACUGCAAUUUUACCUAGGAAGCCCUGAACACUGACACAUACACCAGCAGCAGGUGCAUCUGCACAACCGCAAGAAGCGUGCUACAGCCUCAGUAAGCUGGAUUUACCACUUACGCACAGGUCAAGUGUGCAGCACGGGAGCCCUCAAGCUGUAUUUGCCGUACCACUUGCUACUCGCCACUGCAAUCAUGCAGUCCAUAGUCUGUCCUCACUUUAAGCAUGCAACCCGAGCUUCUUACAGGACCUUCUUCGACGGCCUUUUACAGGAUGAUAUACUUUCCCCACAGGUCCCUGGGAAGAACAGUAACCAAGAAGAGCUCGCUUCUGCUAGAAGUUUUUGCCCAGAAGGUAGCUCUACGUACCUGAGAGAUGCUGGGAAAGAAGGCGGCCAGAAGUAGAUUUCAUACAUUACACUGGGGCCAAACAGCCUACUCCUAGCAUCUCUCUUUCCCCAAGUACAACGUGGGAACAAAGUGCACCAACAUAUAUGCAUUGUACAGUAAACUUAAUGCUAUACAUACACCUACUAAUAGUCUUUAGCACACAUGCAAAAGAGGCAGAUGUUGCUUAUGGGGUGGGGGAAGUGCCAGCUUCCAGCUUUGUCUUGCCAACAGUACAUCCCUCCUUCAGCACAUAUACUGUGAUCCAGCACUUCCUACAUGUGCUGAGUAUAUUACAGAGUGACCUACUCAUGUUCACACUCAGGAUUUCCAGAUGAUUACUGUUGUCUGGAAGAUACUGAUCUAAACUGGAUCUACAAAAAGACUUUCCACAGGAAAAGGCAGUACGUCUAGGAAAACAAAGUUUAUGCGAGUCCUGCCAUUAACAGGCAUCAGCCUUCCACUCUGUGCUACCUGCCCCAAAGCCCAGGCAGAGUUAGUGUGCUGGUUUUGGCUGGGAAAGAGGCAAUUUUCUUCAGCUACUAUGAAGAAAAUUAACUCCAUCCCAGCCAAAGCCAGCACAAUUAGCUAGGGCAGCACAGAUAGUUAAAAUGAAAGUUUUUCUCUCAUCUGCUUUAAAGUAUGUGCAAUAAACAUCUAAAAUAGCUUCUGCAAACUACAUAUCUCUAACUUUAUGUUGAUAUAGUCCUAUCAAUUCCUGUCUGCAUUUAAAGCAGAAAACGUUGCACAGCCACAUUACUGUAUCUUAAAAAAAUAAUCUGUAGAUGUAUAUACAAGGGACAUACGCUGUAACAGCUAUGUAGUUGUAUAUUAAUUAGGAGGAUUUCUGCUGAGUGUUCACAAAGAUGGCCCGAAGCAUAUCAAAACCACAGAAACUAACUAAUAUGAAGGCCACUCUAGUCUAAAGAAGAGUAAAAAUGUCUUUCCCAACCAAAUGACUAUUCACCAAUACACCGCUCGGGACUGUACAAAGCUUAUGGUCUGUAUGCUCUUCUGUAUAUUCUAAACUUUCCCUAUCUUAGGGAAACCACUGUGACAGUUUAAUAGCUAGAAUUAGAUAAAUGAGUUAGCCCCGACCAAAAAUAAAAAUUACAAAUUCCUUUUGAAUAAAAUGAGAACAAUUAUUCUACUGCCACCAAUCACAUAUCUCCAGACUCAAAAUCAUGUAAAAAAGAAGCCUCUAAGAAACUCUGCCAUUGGCAUGUAGAAACAAACUCGAGAAACAACCCCAGCAGCCUCCUCUCAGCCAGCAAUGAAAAUUACAGAAUCUUCAACAAAUGUUGAAAUACGCUGCUGAAAUGGAAACAUGCAUUUUCCUGAGAUGACAUAUAAAAUUGGCAAGUUUACCAGUUAACCAAAGCCAAGACUCUUUUUGCAGUCAAGCAUGGUCCAAGUUUGGUUUCCCAUCAUCUGCUAGCACUUACUCCAGACUGAGCCCACAUAUGCACUAGUAACAAACACAAUACCAGUUGUUGGACUACUAACUUCACAGCAAAAGGAACAGAACAUAAAAGCUUAAGUGUGACUCACAGUGAAAGAGCUCACUCUACUAACUAAAGGUAGUAAUUCUUCAUGUUAAAAAAUUGUAUCUUGUGAAAAGUAUGGUUUCAUCAAAGCAUGACACAGGAAAAAUGUUAGUAUCAAUAAUUUUGGGUCCUGGAAGACCAGAUAACUAAAAGAAAAACUAGCUUUGCAUUGAUGUUCAAGAAUAAAGUUUUCUGUGAUGACAAUACUGUUUGAAGAAUGUUAUAAAUUUUUCUUUCGAUUGAAGUUUUACAACUUUUGUUUACCAAUGUUUAGGUAUGUAUGCAGUUUAAUUCCUUCCUUCUGUGUUUGGAAAUUAAGAUUGUUCUAAUAUCUCUAAAUUUCUCAAUGCAUUAAAAAUUAACUUUUAUAUA